AUUGAACGCUGGCGGCAUGCCUUACACAUGCAAGUCGAACGGUAACAGGUCUUCGGAUGCUGACGAGUGGCGAACGGGUGAGUAAAGCAUCGGAACGUACCCGGAAGUUGGGGAUAACGUAGCGAAAGUUACGCUAAUACCGCAUAUUCUGUGAGCAGGAAAGCAGGGGAUCGCAAGACCUUGCGCUUGCGGAGCGGCCGAUGUCGGAUUAGCUAGUUGGUGGGGUAAAGGCCUACCAAGGCGACGAUCCGUAGCGGGUCUGAGAGGAUGAACCGCCACACUGGGACUGAGACACGGCCCAGACUCCUACGGGAGGCAGCAGUGGGGAAUUUUGGACAAUGGGGGCAACCCUGAUCCAGCCAUGCCGCGUGAGUGAAGAAGGCCUUCGGGUUGUAAAGCUCUUUCGGCGGGGAAGAAAUCGCGCAGGUUAAUACCUUGCGUGGAUGACGGUACCCGAAUAAGAAGCACCGGCUAACUACGUGCCAGCCGCCGCAGUAA
rnacentral:rRNA from 1 species